ACGCCAACAACACUUUGGGAGAGAAAGGAAAGCAAGAGGAGCUGACGUGAAUGAACCACUCUGCUGGAAUCAACCAGUUCACUGGGGCCAACCCUACAGAGCUGUGCUCGCCGCCUUCACUACACUGACAAGGGCCGGGUGUUCCCUGAGAGGAUAAGGACCGAGGGAGCUGAGGGCUGUGCCCCAGCUCUUGAGGAAAGACACAGGGAAGAUACUAAAACACUCUCCUUCCUGCUCAGGAGGGAUCGGUGUCCCCUGAGGUCAGAGGAGGCACCUUCCGCCUCAGUCAACUCUCAGGCUUGCAGGAGGACCAGUUUCCACAAAUUCCCACUCAUUCCAGAGACCCCGGGAGGAGUCUGUUAUUACUCUGCCCACCUGUGGUGCAGGUCCUCCCCAUUCACGGCCAGGCCUGUUUGAAUAGGAAGCCAGGUGUGGGUGUUAGCAGCUCAUUAAGUUACAACAGCAGGAGGAGAGAAUCCAGGACUCUGGGCCGAGUGCAGCCUGGAGGCUCAACCCCAGCUCCCAUGCUGGCUCCUCUCCACUGCCAAUUUGUCUGGUGGCUUCCUGUCUCCAUCUUAAUUUCUUCCAGUGACAGGAACCCUCUGCCCCGAGCUCCUCUUGACCUACCUCUUGGACGUCUCUGACAAAAAGAAACACUCGACAUUUUUUAAAGUGCAGGUUUUAUUUAUAUAUUUUUUAAAACAUGUUUCAUUCGUGUCUACUAGUUGUACAAAAUAGUAGAACUGUGAACUUUCAAAAGCUGCCGGGCUCUGGACUCCUCCCCACUCCACAAAGUCAACGUUCUAGUCUCUUGAGUCACAGGGAGCAAACGCAGGUCCUCGCCAUGACAGUCCCUCAGGCCCAUGACUCCAUCCAUCUUUCACUGGCUGCGAGACAAAAAGCUCCUGGACCCCUCCUCCUGCCCCUCUUCCAAGCCAGCCACCCCAACGCUCAAGGUGUUCGCUGGACCUAAAACAAUGGGAGUAGAAGAAAGGCCUCCACGGGGCAAAGCUCUCAGACACUCCCAGUGAGGCUAUACUGAGUUCUGGCUCUGGACAUACAGAGGGAAGGCCUGCCUGGGCAGAGCAGUGGGAGCCCAUACCCCCACCCCCAAACCCCUCACUGCCUUAUUUAUCAUUGCCCAGACUCCCAGCCUGGCCUGUCAGCCCAGGCCUGCCCACAGCCUUGGGAGGCAUUGGGGAGGGGAAGAGUUUCAGGUCUGAUGAAAGCCACCGAAACCAGCUCAGAGCUCCCAUGAAAGGAACCCAGAGGAGGCAUGAGUCUGUUUGACUGCUGGGUGGCGGGCGUGACCAGACUCGUCUUCCUCCUGAGGAGAGGGAGACAAAGACGGAGUCAUCCCCAGAGGCAGUGCCUACUGUGCUUCACCACUGCCCCCACACAGCCUCCUUGCCUGGAAGAUGUAACUGGCCUCUCUGAGUCCCCACCAAAGUACCCUGGAAGCACAGGCCACCUGUACUGCACACCGCAGUGUCCUCAAUGUGGAGAAACAGUGUACAGGAUAAGUGGAGGCGGCAGCGUCGAUUCCUGUCUAGACUGGAGUUCUGGAAUCCAGCCGUUCUGAUGAAAGGAUCCAUUAUAGAGACAGGAUAUAAAUCCACCAGGUCAACAAGACCAUAUUCACCUAGGGUUAUUUACACUUCUUUCCACUCUCUGGUUGGUCAUUGCCUGUCCUACUGCCAUCUGCUUUCAAAUUUCAAUGAGAUUACUGAUUGCAUCAAGUAGCCACUCACAGCUGAUUUCAUUUUGAGGGGCCUCACGCUAGGGCGACAUGUUCUCUCCUGAGCCCCUGUAAGGCAUCAGUUCUUUGCUCUGGACUUUAGAGAGUGUUAAGAAACCACCGGAGGCAUUGACACCUGGCAGGGCAGGGUCACCAAGGGUGUGUUAUUAAUUCGAUCUUCCCUGCACCCUUAGGCCCUGCCCAACACCUUUGUGCAGUUAGUCAAGGAUGUGGGAGGGAAGCCAGCUGACAUGGCCCAUUUCUGAACUGCCAGGCUGGGAUCCUUGGUAACUGAAGCAUUCUGUCUAACCAUCAGGGAAGGGCACACACAUCACCGAAGUUCUACUAGAGCAAAAGGUUCCAGACAUCGCUACGAGGCACCACCAAUACCAAGGACUUGGGUUGGGUUUUCUUCAAUCUUGAGUCCUGUGUUCUUAGCUUCGAGAGACUUCUUCACCCGAGUGAUCUCUGCGUGUUUACAGCUUAAGAGCACAGAUCCACUUUCUCUUUGGAGUCCUCUGUGUUCUGUCUCUGCAGGGAGAGACGUGAAUGUCAGCCCUGUUUCUGCAGUUGGACUUAACACAAACAUGUGUUCUUAAAUCUCGAUUCAUUUUCUUUCCCCUUUCCUUCAUUGAAUACCUUUUAUUUGUUUUUGCUUUUAUUGAUACCAGUUUACAUAUAAUCAUAUAUAAUUAUAUAUAUUCUAAUAUAGAAA